rnacentral:rRNA from 1 species
AUACGGAGGGUGCAAGCGUUAAUCGGAAUUACUGGGCGUAAAGCGCACGCAGGCGGUUUGUUAAGUCAGAUGUGAAAUCCCCGGGCUCAACCUGGGAACUGCAUCUGAUACUGGCAAGCUUGAGUCUCGUAGAGGGGGGUAGAAUUCCCGGUGUAGCGGUGAAAUGCGUAGAGAUCUGGAGGAAUACCGGUGGCGAAGGCGGCCCCCUGGACGAAGACUGACGCUCAGGUGCGAAAGCGUGGGGAGCAAACAGGAUUAGAUACCCUGGUAGUCCACGCCGUAAACGAUGUCGACUUGGAGGUUGUGCCCUUGAGGCGUGGCUUCCGGAGCUAACGCGUUAAGUCGACCGCCUGGGGAGUACGGCCGCAAGGUUAAAACUCA